rnacentral:rRNA from 1 species
UGCAAGUCGAACGAAGUAGCAAUACUUAGUGGCAGACGGGUGAGUAACAUGUAGGUAUCUGCCCUUUGGCCUGGAAUAACACGAGGAAACUUGUGCUAAUACCGGAUAAGUCUUUACGGAGAAAGCUUUAUGCACCAUUGGAUGAGCCUGCACUUGAUUAGUUUGUUGGUAGGGUAAUGGCCUACCAAGACUGUGAUCAAUAGCUGAUUUGAGAGGAUGAUCAGCCACAUUGGGACUGAGACACGGCCCAAACUCCUACGGGAGGCAGCAGUGGGGAAUCUUGCACAAUGGAGGAAACUCUGAUGCAGCGAUGCCGCGUGAGUGAAGAAGGCCCUUGGGUUGUAAAGCUCUUUCGUCGGGGAAGAAAAUGACUGUACCCGAAUAAGAAGGUCCGGCUAACUUCGUGCCAGCAGCCGCGGUAAUACGAAGGGACCUAGCGUAGUUCGGAAUUACUGGGCUUAAAGAGUUCGUAGGUGGUUGAAAAAGUUGGUGGUGAAAUCCCAGAGCUUAACUCUGGAACUGCCAUCAAAACUUUUCAGCUAGAGUUUGAUAGAGGAAAGCAGAAUUUCUAGUGUAGAGGUGAAAUUCGUAGAUAUUAGAAAGAAUACCAAUUGCGAAGGCAGCAUUCUGGAUCAUUACUGACACUGAGGAACGAAAGCAUGGGUAGCGAAGAGGAUUAGAUACCCUCGUAGUCCAUGCCGUAAACGAUGUGUGUUAGACGUUGGAAAUUUAUUUUCAGUGUCGCAGCGAAAGCGAUAAACACACCGCCUGGGGAGUACGACCGCAAGGUUAAAACUCAAAUGAAUUGACGGGGACCCGCACAAGUAGUGGAGCAUGUGGUUUAAUUCGAAGAUACGCGCAGAACCUUACCAACACUUGACAUGUUCGUCGCGACUUUAAGAGAUUAAAGUUUUCGGUUCGGCCGGACGAAACACAGGUGCUGCAUGGCUGUCGUCAGCUCGUGUCGUGAGAUGUUGGGUUAAGUCCCGCAACGAGC